ensembl:lncRNA
UUCUCUCCUGCCUGCAAAUAUGGCAUCAGGAAACAUAAACACCUACAAGAUAAAAGCAAAACCUAAUCCUAGAAAAACAAGCCUGACUAUUUACUCACCCAGAUCUAACUCUGGACUAGACCCAUGCAACUCACACCAGAGCCUACCAGCAGCUACUGCUGGUCAUGCUGCUAUGAGAACUGCCUUCACAGAGAGCCUAAAAAUCAGGCAGGAAAUCAGAUACAAAGAAGAACAUGGGGUAACAAGACAGUGACACUUUCCUGUAAGAAGACCAUAAAUCUUUAUACAAGGGGGCGGACUGGAGAACGUCAGGGGUUUCCAUGUGUGAGUGUUUAAAAUAAAACCUUAUUCAUGCUGGAGUGGGGAAGAAAAGAACUGGCAAGCUGGGAACACAAAAAGAAAAAAGGAGGAACCUUAAAAUAUGAGGUUUGACUGGGUCUUGAGCUCUGAAGGACAAAAAAAGUUAGAGGGUGGUUUUUUCCCUGGUUUCACUCCUAAAUCGCCAUUUAUACCCUGACAUCAGCUGACAUCAGUGGAAAUGUCAAAAAAUCUUCCUUUUGCAAGAUUUCAGAAACAAUGCAGAUAUAGAGAAAAUAAAAAUAAGGAGGGAGGAGGGCGGAUGCCCCGGCGGUCUCUCGGCGGGGACAUGCUGCCAUCCAGCGGCUGCGGCCACGCGGCCCCGAGGAUGUGGAUGUCCCGGAGCACCGCGCCCCGCGCUGCCCCCUGGGGGCAGAGGAUGCUUCGAGGAGUGGUGUUGGGGUCCGACGCCCCCCUGCCCCACUGCUCUUGUAGCCCUUCAGCAAAAAUGUUCAUGGAAGAGAGAGUCACUUACAGCCAUUCAUGCAAUUAUGGUGGCUUGGAGGAAACAGAUGAUUUGACAUGGAGUAGAUUUGCAGCCAGGACCCCAUUGCAAGCAGGACCUGAGUUCUUUGGAAGAGUCAUGAGCUGGGGGUGAUUGCCCUGUGAAGAGAGUAAAGAGUUCCCCAGCAAUCUGCAUUCAACCUUUGAAGUACUUUGGAAGCUGUGUAUAGAAGAUACCAGGGCAAUUUUGUGAACUGGAAAUGUAAAUUAGCAGAGCCGAACCUUCCUUAUUAAUGCUUCAAAAGACAUCAAAUCCCCUAACAAAGGACAGUCAGUACAGAGCAGGGCUCUCUCAUUGAUCGACUUGUCAUUUUUCUAUCUCAGCAUCACACAGGAGUGGGGAAUACAGGUGCUUUCGGGAGAAAUCCCCCAGCUCACAAAUCUGCCUUCUGUCCAGAAAGUAGGUCUCACUGGUGCAUAAUAAACGUGACAGCCUGGUAAAUAUUGAGGUGAGAGAGCACAGAUCCAUUCUGGUUCAGCACACUUGUGCAGCUACCAAAGACGGCACCAGGUUUCUAUGUGAGAUUACAACCCCAUAAUUCCAACAGAAUCACAUCAAACCCUCUCAAGGGGACAAAAAGUUUGCACAACUACAAGUUCAGUUGGACCAAGCUCAAUGGAGGGACUGGGUGACAUGAUCCCCCAAAGCUGGCUGGCAGUUCCCUGGCUCUGAAGCAAAUGAGAUGAUGCUGCAGACUGCUUUCCUAGCUACUUAAAGAUAAAAAGUACUUUAGAAUAGAGAAUAAUCCUCCAAAUCCUUAACUGAGUUACGAUUCUAGAGAAAGGAACAGAUCGUAUUUAUGAGAUGAAGAAUUACCUUGUCGUGUUCACAUCUUUUAAACCUCUGGUAUGAAAUAUUCACUCUUCUGAAGCCAAUCAAUGUUUCAGUGCCAAAGGAAGUGGGUGCAGGCUUUCAGGCACAGAAUAUCAAUGGCAAGUUAUGUGGUUGUACAAGUGAGAGCCAAAGAUCCUUUACUUUCUCUUGAGUUCAAAAGAGAAUAUGCAUCUAAUAUUGGAUGUUAGUAAAAGUGAGCAUCUUGUACAAGGUGAAUUUCACCUUAGCUGAAGAAGGGAAGAAGCAGGAUUAUAACUUUCAAAAUCUUCAGGAAGUGAAACGUGUUCAGUAUAUGCUGCUCUAAGGUUGUUAUUACUAUUUCCUACAUUCAGGAAACCAUCAAGUUUACAAUAGGAGCAAAUUCUCGGAUUGUCAGUUUAAAUUUUAAGUUUGAGGUUGCUAUUCAAUUUCAGGGUACUAUCUCAAGCCAGAGAUCUAAGCAUCAGAGAGCAAAAUCAAAUGGAGUCAGAGUAGAUUUAGCAGAACACUACAUUAUGGACUAAGGAGUCAAACAUAUGCAAACCUUCCGUCCUUACUAAGAAACUGCCUCACACCAUCCACCUGGGGGAUUGUCUUCAAGACCUAUCCUCUCCCCUACCAAGGUGGGAGAAGCUGUGCCAAUGGUGCAAGAAGGACCAAACACUGGACCACAGGCUGGAUGUAUUCCUUUUGUCUUGAACAUGGUACCAAGCAGACAUGCUGCCAGCUAGCAGUGUUGGAAGUCUUUGUUAGAGAAAGAGAGGGCACUCUCUGUAUUGUACAUGUUUAGGAACAGUGGUGUUACACAUUAACUAUCAGAAUGAAAUUUGCUUACACUAUUGUGAAAAAGGGUCUGCCUACAGUGGUCUCCAAUUUUAGAUUUGAUUUUCAGUCCACAUUCCUGACUUCAGUCCUCAUCAGUCAGUUUUGCCCCAGACUCUUGCAUUAUGAAGACUAAUUUACAUAUCCAAAUAAACAGCUCUCAAAGGAGAAAUUCAGGCUGACAUAAUGUAACUCAUCCUCAUCCUUUUAGAGCUAUUUUUGCAUAAAAAAAAGAUUAGCAAACAAAACCAAGGAGGUAAAGAAAGAAAUGUCAUGGAACCUCUGGGAUUUUUGAGAGACUACUCAACUAUCCUGUACAAUCAUGAAGAUGGGGUUGUGGGGAGGGAGAUUUCCCAGUUGACACGUUUCUCCACUUGUGAACAUGUUGAAAGAUCACUCAUAUGUUUUCAAUGAAGUCACUGACAGUCAAGAAUGCUGGAGGCAACAGCUGUUGGGGAUUGAUUUACCCCAAGGCUAUUUAAUCUCUCAGCCUCUCAUAAGGAUGCUUGCUAGGGGGAAGGUAAAGAAGCACAACUAAAAAUUGUAUUGCUUUCAGCAGCUGUUGUUAUUCCUGAAAGCCAAGAAAGGGUCAAAAAUAUGUGAUGAAAGUCUUGGAUUGUUAUCAGCUAUAGGGGUGGCCAAAGCUUACUGCUUCCUUUGGGAGUAAAGUUUCCUUUGUGGAAUGAAAUACAGUAAAAUUACUAACUCCCUUAGGCUUAGUUGCCUGGGAGUUACCAUGAAGUGUAUAUGUGCCUUGGAAUUUCCAGAAUUAUAAGUAUAUUAUGUCAGUAGGAAUGAUACAGGUUGUGAAAGGCAGCCGUUGUGUUCAGUAACAGGAGCUGAGACAAUCGGGUAGCAAGAAAAGAUAACAUAAAACAUUCAUUAAAAUGGUGGAAAAAAAAUGACUGAAAAGCAGAGUGCAGCUGCUGUUAUGUGUCAGUUACUAUUUCAGAAUGGUCUCCUUCUGUGAAACACUGGACUUUUAUGAAAUCAUAUUGUCCAACCAUGCAUCAGACCCCUGAAGUGUAAGGUAUUUGCCUACCUCGCUGAAAAUAAGAUACAUCCAUCUCCCAGCAGAGAUUCUUUUUGUAACCAUGCAUUUUUCACUCUUGGCUAGCAGAACUUUUCAGAGAGAAUUAGCAUGGAUUGCAUUUUCACUUGGGAAGGAAGCAAAAGUUGCAGUUCUGUUUCACCUAGGAUUUCAUGGCUGUGAAUAUGGGUGAUGCCUCGUGGCUUUAAGAGUGUGUAAUCAGCCACAGAACUUUUGUCUUUUCCCUAAAGCAAUCCAAGAUGUUUGUGACCGUGCCCCAUCCUGAACAUUAGCAGUGUACAGCCUUACAUCUUCUCAUCCCUCCCAAAUCCAUGGAGUGGCUCACUCAGGAUGUGUCUACACCAGGGUUUUCCUUGGCUCAAUAAUACACUUCUGAAGCAAAUCUCUCAUUAUCCCCACUUACCGUGUUUUGUAUCCCAUCAUGGAUCUGUUUUGGAAAGCCAGAUUUGUUCCAGAUCAAAAUGAAAGUGGAAAGUGCUCUCCAGGACCAUACCUCAUGUAUUGCAUCACAAAGGGCUCCAUGAAAAACUCCAGGCAAUGAGAGAAUGGGCCUGAAAGUCACAGCUAUCCUGGAAAUGGCUAUGUUCAGAGGAGGAUGAGUAUUCUUCAGGGCAGUGCUGUCUCCUUACACUAGCUGAGUUCUCAAGAGCAACACACAAGUCUUCAAUGACCAAAAAAAAUAAAAAAUAAAAAAAUUGAACACAGCAAACUUUGCUGAAUGUGGACCUAAAAACUCUUUAAAUAUUCUUUAGAUGCUGAAAAAAAAAAUGGCAAAGCUAAAGAAAAGAUAAUGCUGAAAAAUAAGUAGCGUGUUUGUUCAUAAAAAGUAUCUUUACACAAUUAACGGAAUCACAGUAUCAAAGAAUUGUAAAGGCUGGAAAAGGGACCUCUGGUGACGAUCAAGUCCAGCCCUCAUCACAGCACCUUGGGAUUAUUGCUUAGUCCUGAGGAUGCCCAGAACUUGGUGCAUAGCUAAAGUUCAUCCAACAAAUUAAAAACCUUUGGCUCUGAGAAAAAUGGAAAAGAGAAAUUUUGGGCAAGUGCUUUGGGACUACAAGGAAAGAAUAAUCAAAUUACUGAAAAUCCCUGUCCCACAAGUACUUACAAAAACAGAAUAGUAAUUUUUCUUGUGACUUUUCAGCACUUCUCCCUCUGGGAUAAAGUGAACAUGGGAAAGAGGAAAAAUGUAGAAAUUAAGACAAAUUAAUUAUGAACUGUGUCUGACAGAAUUCAAUAACUGUUUUUCUGCUGACUAUACCAAAGUUUGGAUUGGGCAGUUUUGGUCUUCAGAACAUUCGACAUCUACACAGUAGUCUGACUAGACAGAUUCCCAAUUCCUGUUUUUAUACACCUGCCAAGCUGACAGGCAUUCUAUGAUGGAAUAUGCAAGUCUUGUAACACAAUGCACUUACCCAACAAAAAGUGUCAUGAAAAGAUUAUUUGAUUUUCUAACAGCAGUCUUAAACCACAAAAUAAACCAAACAAAAACAAAGCUCAAAGCUUAUGAAUUAUUCCUUAAAAAUCAAAACAUAUUAAAAAAACACAACCACCUUCCUCCCACCAAGAGACAAGGUAACGGUGGAAAAGCAGAAUAAUGAAAGCAUUUGAUACUUACACGUCUUUCACCCUAUGGCACUCUAACACUGUAUGCUUGUACUCACCAAGCUGAAGUGUAACCACACCUGGGCCAUGGAUACUCCUUCUCCUCGGAGGAACACCUGUACAAUUAUCUGUGUUCUUCUUGGUAGUAGCAUCAGGUACAAAAGGAGCCUUGCAAGGACCUGACUGAAGUUCCCACUAAUCUCACCAGCUGUACACCCCAGCUUUUUCAUAGGGACAAUCCCCAAUCACUGAAGGUAAAGGGAUUUGUUCAACUCAAGCUUCAAUGCUUAUAGAAGCAUUCAACAAAAAUCCAUCCAUGCAGGUCUUUAAGAUCUUCUUUCUCCUGUAAAUUUGAUUCUCUUUCAACAUUUUGACUUCCAGGCAUCUUGAGAGGCCCUAGUGCAGGCUCCCUUCCCAUCUUGUAAAAAAAGGGGAAGAGAUUAUGCUAUUUUCAGCCACCAGAUAAAUAAACUUCUACAGUUUACUUGAAGUGUAUUAUUUUUUUAAACCCAAAAUUUUCAUUUUUGUUUAUUUAGGAAAGUGUUCUUAGUUCUCCUGCAGAUCUCCUAGGCUAUGACACUGUGUAUUCAAAGACAAACCUUGCUACAGGAAACCUUUUAAAUCAACAGAUAAUGAAGUGCCAGUGCAGGCACUGAAGCUAUGGAGAUGCUGUCAUAGAAUCAGUCGUAGAAUCAUUUGACUUGGAAGAGACCCUUAAAGGCCAUCUAGUCCAACUCCCCUGCAAUGAACAGGGACACCUACUGCUAGAGGAGGUGCUCAGAGCCCCAUCCAGCCUGACCUUGAAUGUCUCCAGGGAUGGGACAUCUACCACAUCUCUGGGCAACCUGUUCCAGUGCUUCAUCAUCCUUACUGUAAAAUACUUCUUCCUUAUAUCCAAAUCCAAAUCUCCCCUCUUUUAGUCUGAAACCAUUUCCCCUUGUCCUAUCACAACAGACCUUCUUAUAGAGUUUGUCCCCUUCUUUCUUAUAACCUCUCCUGAGGUCACAAAACCUCUGAACCUUUCUUCAUAAAAAGUGGUUCAUAAAAGCACUGAAACCUUUCUUCAUCUCACCUAGCCAAGCUCCAAGACACUUCUCCUUUUUUUUUUUUUAAAUGUUAGAGUUUCGUUUUGAGUAAAUCAGAUUCUGUUACUGUCUUACUACACAGAUGCAUGGACACCAAUACAGGCAGUAGAGAGGAAGUCAGUGGAAGCAUUUUUAAAAAAGAAAAUAUAUAUUAAAAAAAAAACAAAAAAACGUUGACUUACAUUGAUUUAAAGUGAUUUAAAGAUUUAAAGGCUCAGUGUAAAGCUCACAUAGAAUAGCAAAGUCCCAAUGACAGCAAGUAGCAGUGUGUAGGCUUAGCAAAUGACCCAUCAUAUCGUGAAAUAUUUCAGUUUGUUUUCUCUGAGUUCAUAGAGCUUUGUCAAGAUAUAGCUACAGCAGAUGCCAUUAUAAAUAUCUGAGUUCAAGAUGUUACAAAGCAGAUAAAGAACAUACUUCUCAGACCUUUUUCUUUUCAUAGACAUAUAUUUUUUUAAAACCAUCGUUCUUCAGUAGGACUGUCAUAAUUAGUUCUAAAGCUUGUGGAAAAAUAUAACUCAAUUUCACACAAAGAGUCAGGAUCAAGGCGUAAUCUGUGAGAUCUCUGGUCAUUUUAAAGCUUUCUCAUAAUACAGCCUCUUUCACACUGUUGAUGGAAGUCUUGGGACAAGAAGACAGUUGCUUCUGUCUUGUUCUUGGGUGUGAAAAUCAGUAGGAGAAUGUGAAAGGCUUAGAACAUACCAUCCCAGAGAACUGAGUCUCAGCUUGCAAAGGAGACUCCAGUUAGGCAAUGACAAAUUCCUUCCUCUCAUUAGAGACACGUUCCUCAGCAUCAGGGGCCUUCCCUGGAAUGUGGCUUUCAGCUCCAAGGUCAUUCUAAUGAUGGAAAAAGAACCCAAGAGAUCAUGACGGUCUAAAGCAAAAGCUUGUGAAGCAGCUUUCGCAGACUCUCCAAGCCACGUGUGAAGGAAUGAGCAGCAGCGUGCCUAGGGACACUGAGAAGCUGCAAGCUGUGUUCCUGCAGAGCAUGGAGAGGUCAUCUCCCGGGGCAAGGCAUGGAGAGGGUGAUAAGAAACCACCCACAUCACCUGCUGCUUCAAAAUCAGUGUCUGUGCAGAAGGAUGUUCUUCACAAAGAAAUAACAAAUUUUUGUGUCCCUUUCCAUAAAUGGUAAGGAUGCAUUAGGUGAUGGCAGAAAGCGAGGAAGUAGAUGUAGUUCCCAAACUCUGGGGCAUAAACACAACAAAGUAUAAAAGAAGGAGGAAAGAUACAGAGAGGGUAAAAAUAAACAUUUUGAUUCAUCUCAUCUUGUGAAUCACAAAUGACAGGCACAUGGAAACUCAAAGAACCACACUAGACCAGACAAUGCAUAAUUCAGAGCCACCAGGUACAUCAGAAACAAAAAACAGAGGUACAGAUAUGAGACAGGAUUAGUCUUGAAGUAGGACAUUGUUUCUAUAGAAGGAAGAUAAAAAUAAUGAAGGGUUCAUAGGAAGAUUUGCUGAAGAUACUGUUGGAAACUUAACUAAGAGGGCUGCUCCUAAAGUAAUACCUCCUAUUUUAUUAUGUUGGCCCAUGAUGUCAGAAGUGGAUGUUGGUGGUAUGGAAGUAGAUGUUGAACCUUCCCACCAAUACUCUGUUACAUGUUUUUGCCAUGUGACAGAUGGCAGCACUCUGUGUUGGGGGCACUCUGACAGAAUGGUAUCUGACAUAGAAGUACAUAUGAAGCAAAGACAUGGAAUUGAAUUCCUCCAUGCAGAAAAACAGCACCCACUGACAUUCAUCAGUGCUUGCUGAAUGUUUAUGGAGACCAAGCAGUGGACAUGAGAACAGGGACGUGGUGGGUGGAGCAUUUCAGCAGUGGCAACAGUGAUGAGAAUGGCAAGCCACAUACCAGACUGCCAUUCACAUUUUUACCAGUGCGGCACACAGGCUCUUGUUCAUCACUGGUGAAAAUGCACAACUAAUGGUGGUGACUAUGUUGAAAAAUAGUAAUUUGUUGCUGACAAUUUGCUCUGUCAAAUAGUAUUAAUGUGCUCUUUGCAUCUGUUGUAUUUUCCAAGGAAAUAAAUAGGAAGCAUUAUUUUGGAACAGCCUACAUAGUUCUGACCUCUAUGCCAUGG